rnacentral:lncRNA from 1 species
GACAGUGGCAAAGGUAUUGCCAGGGUGGCUAUGUUGGUGGAGGUCCUGCCGGGCCUCAUGAAACUUUGGAGCUUCGGGGCUGGUGGAGAGGGAUGCAGAUGGAGGGAUGAACAGAGUUGAGGCGGUAGGUAACGCUGCUGCUGCUGCUGCGUAGGAGGAGGAGGAGGAGGAGGAGGAUUUCGUGGUGGUGGAGGAGAUCAGGGAGGAUUUCUUGUUCUUUCUUGAGCCACCACCCACCGGGACAUUCCUGAGGGAUCCGCCAUCGGUCCAAUACCUCCGGCAACUCUUGCAGAAGUACCGGGGCUGCG